UAGUAACGGCGAGUGAAGCGGGAAGAGCUCAAGCUUAAAAUCUCCGUGCAAGUUUUGCGCGGCGAAUUGUAGUCUAUAGAGGCGUGGUCAGUGAGGGCGCUCGGGGCAAGUUCCUUGGAAGAGGACAGCAUGGAGGGUGAUACUCCCGUUCAUCCCUGGGUGGCUCUUGCGUACGACCCGUUUUCUUUGAGUCGCGUUGUUUGGGAAUGCAGCGCAAAGUAGGUGGUAAAUUCCAUCUAAAGCUAAAUAUUGGUGCGAGACCGAUAGCGAACAAGUACCGUGAGGGAAAGAUGAAAAGAACUUUGAAAAGAGAGUUAAAGAGUACCUGAAACUGCUGAAAGGGAACCGAAUCGUUUCCAGUGUCUAUAAUCCGUGGCAUAUUUCAUUGGCGAGUGUGUGCGUGCGUGUGCUUUGGCAGUGGCUUUUUUGGCUGCGCUGGGCGUGUGUGCUGUGUGUGCUUGCUGGUGCCCUGUGCUGCGGUGGGACGUCAAGGUCAGUUCGUAUGCUGCGGGAAAUGGCUGCCGAGGAGGUAGGGCUUACGCUCCGCGUUUGUCUGUUAUAUCUUGGUGGACGAGUCGUCGCGGUUGGGACUGAGGUGCCUACAACGUGCUUUUGAGUGAGUAUGGGUCUCCGUGUGCGCCGUGUGCGGAUAGCUUGCUAUGCGUGUGUGGUUGUGUGUGGAUUGAUGCGUGCUGUAACUUGUCGCCGUUC
rnacentral:rRNA from 2 species